rnacentral:rRNA from 1 species
UGAGGAAUAUUGGUCAAUGGGCGAGAGCCUGAACCAGCCAAGUAGCGUGAAGGAUGAAGGUCCUACGGAUUGUAAACUUCUUUUAUACGGGAAUAAAGUAUCCUACGUGUAGGAUUUUGUAUGUACCGUAUGAAUAAGCAUCGGCUAACUCCGUGCCAGCAGCCGCGGUAAUACGGAGGAUGCGAGCGUUAUCCGGAUUUAUUGGGUUUAAAGGGAGCGCAGACGGGAGAUUAAGUCAGUUGUGAAAGUUUGCGGCUCAACCGUAAAAUUGCAGUUGAUACUGGUUUCCUUGAGUGCAGUUGAGGCAGGCGGAAUUCGUGGUGUAGCGGUGAAAUGCUUAGAUAUCACGAAGAACCCCGAUUGCGAAGGCAGCUUGCUAAACUGUAACUGACGUUCAUGCUCGAAAGUGUGGGUAUCAAACAGGAUUAGAUACCCUGGUAGUCCACACGGUAAACGAUGGAUACUCGCUGUUGGCGAUAUACUGUCAGCGGCCAAGCGAAAGCAUUAAGUAUCCCACCUGGGGAGUACGCCGGCAACGGUGAAACUCAAAGGAAUUGACGGGGGCCCGCACAAGCGGAGGAACAUGUGGUUUAAUUCGAUGAUACGCGAGGAACCUUACCCGGGCUUAAAUUGCAGACGAAUUACGAGGAAACUUGUAAGCCGCAAGGCGUCUGUGAAGGUGCUGCAUGGUUGUCGUCAGCUCGUGCCGUGAGGUGUCGGCUUAAGUGCCAUAACGAGCGCAACCCUCGUGGUCAGUUACUAACAGGUUAAGCUGAGGACUCUGGCCAGACUGCCAUCGUAAGAUGUGAGGAAGGUGGGGAUGACGUCAAAUCAGCACGGCCCUUACGUCCGGGGCUACACACGUGUUACAAUGGGAGGUACAGAAGGCAGCUACCCGGCGACGGGAUGCCAAUCCCCAAAACCUCUCUCAGUUCGGACUGGAGUCUACAACCCGACUCCACGAAGCUGGAUUCGCUAGUAAUCGCGCAUCAGCCACGGCGCGGUGAAUACGUUCCC